rnacentral:pre_miRNA from 1 species
UCCCACGGAUGAACAAAGAAAGUGGUUUCAUGAGAUGGAAUCUACUCCUGGUAAAGAUGCUGUGAA